UUUCAAACCUCUCUCUGCUCUGUCUGCACAUCCUCUUCUUUCCUGUGUGACUGCCUUGACUACUGCUUCAAAAACAAAGUCUUAUGAGAGAAGCUAUCUGAGUUUCACAGAAGUAGAAAUGUCCAUCAAAAAUGACCAUGAGAAUUUUAAUCCCUGCAAGAAUUGGCAGCAGGACUUCCCACAGGACUUGAGGAUGAGAUUGGACAGCAAAGCGGAGGCUGAGGAUUCUCCUGGAGCAUCAGGGGCAUGAAGGGGAGGAGGUGUUUUCCCUCCGCCUCCAGGUAAAGGGAAAGGGGGUGCUAAGGCCGCUCUUCAAAAAACUUUACAUAUUUUCUCUAGAGCUUGAGAAGCUAACAUGUGACUCUUGCCAAGAAAAGAGUCUUGAUGCCAGGGGAGCUGUGCCUGGAACUGAUACUUUCUGGCUGCACAAGGGUUAAGUCUGCAUUGGAGUAAGCUGAGCUUCCCCUGCUGGUGGGACAAGGGUUUGCGAAUUUACCUAUGAACUAAUCCUGUUUGAAAGAACCAGCCCUGUCUCCUCCCUACAGAAGACUGCCUGGAUUCCUGAAGGGACCUUUAAAGAAUAAAGCCUGUGGGUUGGACCAGGGGAGGGGAUCUUUGAGGUUCUAGUUACAUUGGACUGGAUGAAAGGUAUUCAAAUAGUUAUUUAAAAAGGAGUCAAAUGGAAUGCGGUGGAGAAACGUAACAUUUUAUUUUAUUUUUUGCUUGUACCAUAUGUAAUCCAGAGGCUUUUCAACAAAAUCGCUACAAUCAGAAAGUAGUUGCGUUUGUUCUUCGAUUUUUACAGACUAGUAACAUAAUUUUAAGGAAUAUUAACAAUUAAGUUUACUCUGUAUCAUCAUAUAGCAAAUAUCAAAAAAUAAAAAUAAGGUGUUCAGGCCGGGCGCGGUGGCUCACGCCUGUAAUCCCAGCACUUUGGGAGACGGAGAUGGAUGCAUCACCUGAGGUCAGGAGCUCAAGACCAGCCUGGCCAACAUGGUGAGACCCCGUCUCUUCUAAAAAUACAAAAAUGAGUUGGCACGGUGGCGGGCGCCUGUAAUCCCAGCUACUCAGGAGGCUGAGGCAGGAGAAUCGCUUCAACCCGGGAGGUGGAGGUUGCAUUGAGCCGAGAUUGCACCAUUGCACUCCAGCCUGGGCAACAAGAGUGAAACUACGUCUCAAAAAAAAAAAAAAAAAAAAAAAUUUAGGUGUCUAAUAUUUAUUAACUAUUUUUUUCCUAAAUUUUUUUUUCCAUCCUGAUUUUCUAAUAGCAGCUUUCCCCAUUACUCUCAUGCAUACAUCAUAACUCUAGGAAAACCCCACCACUGACUUUUCCCUGAAUACCCUUUUCUACCUUUAUCCCUUGAAACCUAU
rnacentral:lncRNA from 10 species